UCUUGUGAAGUGAAGUGUGCAGUUUGAAAAGUUUGACAUUUUUAUGUGCGGUACUACAAAGUUUGGACUUUUUUUCAUCUAAUCCGUUCCACUGUAUUGGAAGGAAAAAUCCCAACAACAGGGCAAGCAGAUUCAUCAAAGUAAUGCAAGCUUCAAUCUACUGGUGCUGUCGGCAUUGCAGAAAAUAAUGACCAAGAUUGGAGCGAUUGGCGAGCUUAGAGAGUCAGGUGAAGGGGAAUGGUGCACAUUAUGCGGACGUUCGGCAGCAACAGGGGGACAAAGAAACCUUCGCCUUGCAUGAAGUGCUGCGAAAGUUACCAGCAAGAGAAGAAGAGGAACUGGAAGAUUUAAAUCUGUUACUACGAGAUGGUAGAAAUUACAGUACAGCGCGGGAGUCAUUCAUGACUUUAGGAGGUAGCGACGUCAAAAUCUGCGUGAAACUGCUGAUGGCUCGCGUAAUAAGCAGUGAGCUAGCAUUACUGUACAACCGGACAGGAAUGGGCCAGAAGAAAAGGUUCACUUCACACGAGCUGGUGUUACAGAUAGUAAAGUUUAAGUGUCAUUAGAUCAAACUGCCCGCACGUAACGGAUGCGGUCAUGGAUAACGUAAUAAGUACGUGGCUAUCGCAAGCUCAAAAGAGGCUAGCAAGUAGGAGGUAUCAGAGGGAAGCAGGUCGCUGACAUGACCACCGAUAUGAAGGAGAAGGUGGAAUUGAUCAUCCAGAGCUGGAGGCUGAAGACUAAGGCUGAAGACUAACUCUGUUCUAUAUUAGUUAUAUUACAGAAUUCUAGUAGUUCGAAAAUGAAUUGGAAUUUUUUUUGUCGAAUGUUUAUGAAUAACGUGCGGAAAUUUGUUCGAAUCCACACAAAAUAAAUGCAAAGGGACAAAAAUAAAGAAUAAAAUAAUUAGGAGGACUUUAAAUGACUUGUAACAGGUUUGUAUUGAAUUGCAACAAGAAGUAGAACGCAAAGCGUAAAACUGAAAAAUGUAGAAUUGCAAAUAUUUUAAUAUCAGCUACCCCAGCCCCCCUCCUCUUGCGCUAGAAAAAACACGUGUGGUCUAUGACAAUAUACGUUUUCGUUUGUUUGAGGUGUUUUCAAUCUUCAUACACACACAGAGAUACACAUUGUAAUUGAUAAAACGUUUUUCUCCAGGGCAGGUGUGAUAGGCUGAUAUUAAAAUAUUUGCAACUUCUCUUUUGCGCUUUGCCAUAAACUUCUUGUUGCACUUCAAAACCAAACUGUCACAAGUCAAUUGAAGAACUAGUGCUCCCACCUACUCCUAUUUAUUACAUUAUAAAUAAGCAAAGUUAAAGAUUGUGAGAAAAUCGCAACUUUCUAGCACUUAUCUAAGAGA